GUGGGGAAUAUUGGACAAUGGGCGAAAGCCUGAUCCAGCCAUGCCGCGUGUGUGAAGAAGGUCUUCGGAUUGUAAAGCACUUUAAGUUGGGAGGAAGGGCAGUAAGUUAAUACCUUGCUGUUUUGACGUUACCGACAGAAUAAGCACCGGCUAACUUCGUGCCAGCAGCCGCGGUAAUACGAAGGGUGCAAGCGUUAAUCGGAAUUACUGGGCGUAAAGCGCGCGUAGGUGGUUUUGUAUGUUGGAGGUGAAAUCCCCGGGCUCAACCAGGGAACUGCCUCCAAAACUGCAUGACUAGAGUACGGUAGAGGGUAGUGGAAUUUCCUGUGUAGCGGUGAAAUGCGUAGAUAUAGGAAGGAACACCAGUGGCGAAGGCGACUACCUGGACUGAUACUGACACUGAGGUGCGAAAGCGUGGGGAGCAAACAGGAUUAGAAACCCUUGUAGUCC
rnacentral:rRNA from 1 species